AGUGAACGCUGGCGGUAGGCCUAACACAUGCAAGUCGAACGGCAGCACAGUAAGAGCUUGCUCUUACGGGUGGCGAGUGGCGGACGGGUGAGGAAUACAUCGGAAUCUACUUUUUCGUGGGGGAUAACGUAGGGAAACUUACGCUAAUACCGCAUACGACCUACGGGUGAAAGCAGGGGAUCUUCGGACCUUGCGCGAUUGAAUGAGCCGAUGUCGGAUUAGCUAGUUGGCGGGGUAAAGGCCCACCAAGGCGACGAUCCGUAGCCGGUCUGAGAGGAUGGUCAGCCACACUGGAACUGAGACACGGUCCAGACUCCUACGGGAGGCACCAGUGGGGAAUAUUGGACAAUGGGCGCAAGCCUGAUCCAGCCAUACCGCGUGGGUGAAGAAGGCCUUCGGGUUGUAAAGCCCUUUUGUUGGGAAAGAAAAGCAUCAGGUUAAUACCCCGCUGUUCUGACGGUACCCAAAGAAUAAGCACCGGCUAACUUCGUG
rnacentral:rRNA from 1 species